rnacentral:rRNA from 1 species
CCUACGGGAGGCAGCAGUGAGGAAUAUUGGUCAAUGGACGAGAGUCUGAACCAGCCAAGUAGCGUGAAGGAUGACUGCCCUAUGGGUUGUAAACUUCUUUUCUCAGGGACGAAGCAAGUGACGGUACCUGAGGAAUAAGCCACGGCUAACUACGUGCCAGCAGCCGCGGUAAUACGGAGGAUCCGAGCGUUAUCCGGAUUUAUUGGGUUUAAAGGGAGCGUAGGUGGAUUGUUAAGUCAGUUGUGAAAGUUUGCGGCUCAACCGUAAAAUUGCAGUUGAAACUGGCAGUCUUGAGUACAGUAGAGGUGGGCGGAAUUCGUGGUGUAGCGGUGAAAUGCUUAGAUAUCACGAAGAACUCCGAUUGCGAAGGCAGUUCACUGGACUGCAACUGACACUGAGGCUCGAAAGUGUGGGUAUCAAACAGGAUUAGAUACCCCUGUAGUC